rnacentral:misc_RNA from 1 species
AAGUCGUAACAAGGUUUCCGUAGGUGAACCUGCGGAAGGAUCAUUCAUAAUUGAGUGUUUUAUGGCACUCUUUAAAAAAAUCCAUAUCCACCUUGUGCGCAACGUUUUUGAACUCUCUGGCAUUAAAAAGCCAAGAGGGUUUGAUUAACUUAACACCUUUAAAGCAGUUUGUCUGAAUAUCUAUUUCUGAAUAAACAUAAUUCAAAAAUACAACUUUCAACAACGGAUCUCUUGGCUCUC